rnacentral:lncRNA from 1 species
AAAUGAUGUGCAAAAAUCUGACCCUGGGUAUUUAAAUUUUGACUUCUCCAAAAUUACGAUUGUGCUUCUACACUUUCAUAGAUCAUAACUUCUUCGUUUCAAAUCGAAAUUGGGCAUGCCGCCAGCCUACGAACUCGUAUCGACGAGUUCCACGUAACAGUGUCUCUCAAUUCUCCAAAAUAAUUCCAAAACGAAAAGUAACUAAAGGGUCCCUACC